GGAAGGUGCAAGCGUUAAUCGGAAUUACUGGGGCGUAAAGCGCGCGUAGGCGGCUAGAUAAGUCGGGUGUGAAAGCCCUGGGGCUCAACCUGGGGAACUGCAUUCGAUACUGUCUAGCUAGAGUGUGGUAGAGGGAGGCGGAAUUCCGCAUGUAGCGGUGAAAUGCGUAGAGAUGCGGAGGAACACCAAUGGCGAAGGCAGCCUUCUGGACCAACACUGACGCUGAGGCGCGAAAGCGUGGGGAGCAAACAGGAUUAGAUACCCUGGUAGUCCACGCCGUAAACGAUGUCAACUAGCCGUUGGGAGCAUUUUGGCUCUUGGUGGCGCAGCUAACGCGAUAAGUUGACCGCCUGGGGAGUACGGUCGCAAAGAUUAA
rnacentral:rRNA from 1 species